UUCAACUGCUUCCAACGAUUUUUUUAGUGAAUAGUGAUUGGCUGGAUUUGCAUGUUCUGCGACAUGCUCCGAACGUACCAACAACGUGUCAAUAUUUAUGCCUAGUGUAUUUUUUUUUUUUUUUUUUUUUUUUUUGAUAAUCCAGGGGUUCCCCACUUACGUGGGUCAUUCCCCUGGGCCCGGUUAGGCAGCGGUCCACUUCACCCGGGAGGGCUUUACCUGGGCUGGGGACAAGGCCCAACACCCAGUACCGCAUUUGAUGACAGAAUGGGUAGUUCGCCUCCGCUUGGCGUCGAACCCGUGAGCAUGACAAUUGGCCCACAAGGUCCUUACCAAGUGUAUUUAUAUAUCUGUUUUUUCUAACAAUACAUUCUGUCAUUUCUUGUUCUAUAUUUUUGUACGAUUUAAAAUGUCUACUAAACUUAUUUUGAUGUAUGUUCAGUUCAAUUAUGAAAAUAUGUAAGAGUAACUAAGUUUGACUAGUUUCUUAAAACAUUCGUGUAUAAAUCACAUACGUGUUUUAAACCUUCUUUACGGUUUUACCAUCGUGUGCUUUUCAAAUAAAAGCUCCCAUAAGAAUUUAGCAAUUUAGUUUACAAAAAAAAAUAGCAAUUUCACUGCGCAUAAAAAAUUCAAAAAACAAACAGAUGAUUCUGGCAAACAAAUUAAAGUGAGAAAAACUAAUAGAAAGAAAUGAUAAUUUUGGAAAGAGAGAGGUCACAUGUAAAGCAAGAAGACGAUGGCGGUGACAAACGGAAAAAAAAAAUCCAGCAGAUGACAGAGGUACGCCCCACAAGAUGCAAAUUAUGAGUCAGUGGUACUGAUCUAUCUUUGAUUGGAUACCCAUUAUGAUCAACCUAUGCAUGAUUGUGUCAUCACUCGAAGAUCCAUCAUAACAUAAUUGUAUAUAGCUCAGUUUUAUUUUUUGGCAACAAUAUAGCUCAGUUUAUUUGUGCAUGCCGCUAUACUUAAAAACAACCAUCCUAAUUAUUCUGAUUCUGAAAGAAAGAAAAAUUGAUACAAAAGUUAAAAUGGUUUUAGUUUAAUUAGUUGAAAUUAACCUGAAGGUGGCGAAUAUAUGGCUGUCAUACAUAUAAACAUGUUGAGUUUAAAUAAAUAUCGUCAUACAAUAUGAUUUUCAAAGUAUGUUAUACGGAGUUGGUUGGAAAAAAAAUUAACUAUCUAUAAUUCUAUGUCAUCGUUAGAUAUUAGAUUUUCGGUGAUUCAUCAUGUAAAAGGGGGAAAACUUGGAAAUGUGAGAUUAACAAACCAUGAAACAAUUAGGCCAUCUCUAAUAGUUUACUUUAUUUUUUACUUUAAAAUAGAGUAACUCUAUAAUAGAGUUUGAGUUUACUCCAAUGAUACUCUAUUUUAGAAUAUAAAAUAAAGUGAUGAACAAAAAAAAAUAAAGUGAUGAACAAAAAAAACAAAUUACUCUACAUUUGAAAUAAACCUAUUUUUCACUCUAUUAUAGAAUGAAAAAUAGAGUACCAUUGGAGUAUUUUUUACUCUAAACUCUAUUUUAGAGUAAAAAAAUAGAGUGGAGUUGGAGAUGUUUUUAUAAAUUUUUUUUUUUUGGUAAAAAACAAUUAUAAACAAUUAUAAACUUGAAGAUUCUUAUCUAUCUACUUUCAUUUCUGAGGUUAGCUUUUUAUUGGAAGAAGUAUUGUUCGCUUGAUUUGUUUUUGGAUCAAAUACUAUUGUUUGAAGUUGAAACUUUUAAAAUACUCAAUCGACGUGAUAAUUUAUUUUAUUUAAGUCGACAAGCAUAUAUAUAUAGUGGAAACUAUAAAGAUGUUAAGUAUGUUUUCCUUUUGCUUUUUUUUUGCCCAUAGAAAUCGUAGGCAAUCAUCACAACACUAAAUACACAAACACAAUGAUCAAUUAAUUCCUUAAGCUAGUAUGUUCAUGAAUAAUUCUUUAACGAAGAUUUUCCUUUAAGAUCGAUCAAAGUAUUAAGCUUUUUCUUUUAAUGAAGAUAUUGUUGUAGAUUUAUCUUACUUUAGUUAAAAUUAAUUAUAUCAAACUUUUGCACUACACAGAAAUGGAUCUUCAUCAAAGGUAGUGCAGAUCCGCAGGCUAUCGCUUACUUAUUUAUAUAAUCAGAAAAUGACCCCAUCAUUAUAAAAGUAUAUAUUUAGUAUCUAGACUUAACUGAUAACUAUAACUACUCAUAUUAAAAGUAUUGAAUAAUUGAUAUGCAUUGCUUCUACGUAAAAUCCACAGUAAUAAGUAGUACUAUAUGUUUCGUGACCAACAUUUAUUAACUGUCGAAAAUGUGAAUAAAUAAUGAAUAGAAACAAAGCAUAAAGACAAAAUCUUGCGAAGGCUUUUGUCGGUUGCGUUUAGUUUGCACAUCCCGAAGAAGCUCUGGCUCUCCGAGAAUCAACUUUGAGUUCUGAAACAAAUACAUUUAAAUUAUUAUUUUUCUUAAGUUACGUGUGUGUGAUCUCUCUGUACUUUGAUGUACACAAAAUGAAAAUUAUAAUUUUAAUAUUAAAAGGAUAUUAUAUUAACAUAAAUCGCCUCUCUCGGUAUCUUUGAUGAUACACGUCUGGACAAAAUACAAAUGAAAUGAGCAACCUCCACACUUAUUAUUGGAAAAGUGUGUACAUUCAUAAAUAUAUCGGUUUAAACAGAAGACAAAAGAAUUCGCCCUAAAGCUCGAAAGCUCUCGGACCCGAGAAUCGAGGUACGCUUGCAGCCGCCACAUCUCGACGUCGGUGAGCCCUCUGGCCGCCGGCGUCGAGCCUUCUUCCACAGCUCUGUUCGUCUUCCGCUCCUCCUAUUCUUCAUCUCCACCGCGUUCGUGAGUUCGCCGAUCUGGUUCUCCGCCUUUAUCAACCUCUCUGCUCACGCCAGUGUAUCUCUUCGGAGAAAGCUUGCUGUUGUGAGCCGAAGCUCUCGUCUGUCUCUUUACGGAUCUAGUACUACUAGACCAAACAUUUUAUGGGGGGUUCCCCAAACCGUUGAGUUUCUCGCCGGUUACAGUCGCUGUUCUUCAUCAAUGUCGCUUUCCUGUUACGUCUAUCUAUCUCGCGACGAAUAUCCAUCCGGUUCUGGGGUCGACGCCUGUCAUCCAAACGGAACUGCGCCUCACCAGCCAGAUCUGUCACCAUCUCCGCCGCCUGCUUCCCCUGUCCUCUCGCCGAAGCUUCCCUUUCUCCACCGUGCUUUCUCCGUCGUACUCGCAAUAUCCCGACAAGCGGUCUGUUCGGAGCCUGAAGAUGCAGCGGACUUCGUUUCGAUGAUAUUCUGCGGUGCGGAUUGGGUGUUAACGUCACAAUAUAAGGUGACUAGUUCUCUGCUGUGCAACCAUGUCGUAAAAGCUACAUUGACGCAUUCAAGCAUCGUCUUGAGUUCGCUGUCAUCUUCUUCUUUUGAAGACCUAUCCAUUUUAUGUUAUGCUGUUCUAGUUUAUCUUUUUAAUCAAAGAGGAUAGAUAAUUCCCUCUA